GAUGAACGCUGGCGGCGUGCCUAAUACAUGCAAGUAGAACGCUGAAGCUUGGUGCUUGCACCGAGCGGAUGAGUUGCGAACGGGUGAGUAACGCGUAGGUAACCUGCCUGGUAGCGGGGGAUAACUAUUGGAAACGAUAGCUAAUACCGCAUAACAGUCGACAUUGCAUGAUGUUGAUUUGAAAGGGGCAAAUGCUCCACUACCAGAUGGACCUGCGUUGUAUUAGCUAGUUGGUGAGGUAACGGCUCACCAAGGCGACGAUACAUAGCCGACCUGAGAGGGUGAUCGGCCACACUGGGACUGAGACACGGCCCAGACUCCUACGGGAGGCAGCAGUAGGGAAUCUUCGGCAAUGGACGGAAGUCUGACCGAGCAACGCCGCGUGAGUGAAGAAGGUUUUCGGAUCGUAAAUGCUCUGUUGUAAGAGAAGAUGCGAUGUGUGAGAUGUGGAAAGUUCACACUGUGACGGAACUACCAGAAAGGACG
rnacentral:rRNA from 1 species